ACGAACGCUGGCGGCAGGCCUAACACAUGCAAGUCGAGCGCGUGUAGCAAUACACGAGCGGCGUACGGGUGAGUACAACGUGGGAACCUGCCCUUCGGUACGGAACAACCCAGGGAAACUUGGGCUAAUACCGUAUGCGUUCCCCGGGUGUGGUGCUCGGGGAAGAAAGAUUUAUCGCCGAAGGAGGGGCCCACGCCGGAUUAGGUAGUUGGUGGGGUAAAGGCCUACCAAGCCUACGAUCCGUAGCUGGUCUGAGAGGAUGAUCAGCCACACUGGGACUGAGACACGGCCCAGACUCCUACGGGAGGCAGCAGUGGGGAAUAUUGGACAAUGGGGGCAACCCUGAUCCAGCCAUGCCGCGUGAGUGAUGAAGGCCUUCGGGUUGUAAAGCUCUUUCGCCGGGGAAGAUAAUGACGGUACCCGGAGAAGAAGCCUCGGCUAACUCCGU
rnacentral:rRNA from 1 species